GACGAACGCUGGCGGCGUGCCUAAUACAUGCAAGUCGAACGCUUCUUUCCUCCCGAGUGCCUGCACUCAAUUGGAAAGAGGAGUGGCGGACGGGUGAGUAACACGUGGGUAACCUACCCAUCAGAGGGGGAUAACACUUGGAAACAGGUGCUAAUACCGCAUAACAGUUUAUGCCGCAUGGCAUAAGAGUGAAAGGCGCUUUCGGGUGUCGCUGAUGGAUGGACCCGCGGUGCAUUAGCUAGUUGGUGAGGUAACGGCUCACCAAGGCCACGAUGCAUAGCCGACCUGAGAGGGUGAUCGGCCACACUGGGACUGAGACACGGCCCAGACUCCUACGGGAGGCAGCAGUAGGGAAUCUUCGGCAAUGGACGAAAGUCUGACCGAGCAACGCCGCGUGAGUGAAGAAGGUUUUCGGAUCGUAAAACUCUGUUGUUAGAGAAGAACAAGGACGUUAGUAACUGAACGUCCCCUGGCGGUAUCUAACCAGAAAGCCACGGCUAACUACGUG
rnacentral:rRNA from 1 species